rnacentral:lncRNA from 1 species
AAGAUUUGAUUAACCAUUUGGUAAAAUUGCAAUGCUUAGUGUGUCACUCGUUGAGAUCCGGUUUUCUUUGGAGUUGGGACUAUCAUAAAAAGAAAAUUAUGGAAUAUGGAAGCCUAGUAUGAACUAAUAACCAACUCAUUGCUUCGUAUUCUCAAGAUCCAAGGAAGCCUUAAUUCACUAUAUGAUUAUCUAUUUUAUAGUUGCAGCAACGGAAAUCCUUUUAUGUACAAAUAAAUCAAUAUUGAUUGUGCAUUGUGAAAUGAAAAUAGAGGCAUAUGGAUAAAUGGAAGAAUGAGAUAAAGAGAAGAAGAACGAUCUAUUAUUCCAAGAUUUAUGGUCUAUGAAUCAUCUCACAUAAAGAAAGGCAGUGUGACAAAGCAUUAAUACCGAUUGGUUGAUAAAAAGAUUAAAAAUUGAAAGAAAAGAAUUAGGGUUCAUAGGAGAAAUAAUUAAGAGCAUUGAGUUGAUAGAGACUGAGAAGAUUGACUCGGGAACAAAUUGAAAGCUCCAUUGCAAAGGUAAGGCCUAGACAUUAAUGAAGAAGCUAUGGGAACGACGAAACCAGUGACUGCAUAAGAUUCUAUUGAAA